rnacentral:rRNA from 1 species
GACGAACGCUGGCGGCGUGCCUAAUACAUGCCAGUCGAGCGAUGAAGAUUGGUGCUUGCACCAAUUUGAAGAGCAGCGAACGGGUGAGUAACGCGUGGGGAAUCUGCCUUUGAGCGGGGGACAACAUUUGGAAACGAAUGCUAAUACCGCAUAACAACUUUAAACAUAAGCUUUAAGUUUGAAAGAUGCAAUUGCAUCACUCAAAGAUGAUCCCGCGUUGUAUUAGCUAGUUGGUGAGGUAAAGGCCCACCAAGGCGAUGAUACAUAGCCGACCUGAGAGGGGGAUCGGCCACAUUGGGACUGAGACACGGCCCAAACCCCUACGGGAGGCAGCAGUAGGGAAUCUUCGGGAAUGGACGAAAGUCUGACCGGGCAACGCCGCGUGAGGGAAGAAGGGUUUCGGAUCGGAAAACUCUGUUGGUAGGGAAGAACGUUGGUGAGAGUGGAAAGCUCAUCAAGUGACGGUAACUACCCAGAAAGGGACGGCUAACUACGUG